rnacentral:rRNA from 1 species
AGUGAACGCUGGCGGUAGGCCUAACACAUGCAGGUCGAACGGCAGCACAGUAAGAGCUUGCUCUUACGGGUGGCGAGUGGCGGACGGGUGAGGAAUACAUCGGAAUCUACUUUUUCGUGGGGGAUAACGUAGGGAAACUUGCGCUAAUACCGCAUACGACCUACGGGUGAAAGCAGGGGAUCUUCGGACCUUGCGCGAUUGAAUGAGCCGAUGUCGGAUUAGCUAGUUGGCGGGGUAAAGGCCCACCAAGGCGACGAUCCGUAGCUGGUCUGAGAGGAUGAUCAGCCACACUGGAACUGAGACACGGUCCAGACUCCUACGGGAGGCAGCAGUGGGGAAUAUUGGACAAUGGGCGCAAGCCUGAUCCAGCCAUACCGCGUGGGUGAAGAAGGCCUUCGGGUUGUAAAGCCCUUUUGUUGGGAAAGAAAAGCAGCAGGUUAAUACCCCGCUGUUCUGACGGUACCCAAAGAAUAAGCACCGGCUAACUUCGUG